AGAAUCAACGCUGGCGGCGUGCCUAACACAUGCAAGUCGCACGAGAAAGGGUAGCAAUACCUGAGUAAAGUGGCGCACGGGUGAGUAACACGUGAAUAAUCUACCUCCGAGUGGGGAAUAACCUAGAGAAAUCUGGGCUAAUACCGGAUAACACUUACGAGUCAAAGCAGCAAUGCGCUUGGAGAGGAGUUCGCGGCAGAUUAGCUAGUUGGCGGGGUAAUGGCCCACCAAGGCGAUGAUCUGUAUCCGGCCUGAGAGGGCGCACGGACACACUGGAACUGAAACACGGUCCAGACUCCUACGGGAGGCAGCAGUGGGGAAUUUUGCGCAAUGGGGGAAACCCUGACGCAGCAACGCCGCGUGGAGGAUGAAAUCCCUUGGGAUGUAAACUCCUUUCGAUAGGGAAGAUAAUGACGGUACCUAUAGAAGAAGCCCGGCUAACUUCGCGCCAGCAGCCGC
rnacentral:rRNA from 1 species